GUAGAUGCUCAUUCCACCUCUUAUGUUCGCCUUAGUGCCUCAUAAACUCAGGAAUGACGCAGAGCCAUUUACGGUGCUUAUCGUCCACCGACAGAUGUCGCUUCGGCCUCAUCAAACACCAUGGACACAACGUUGAGUGAAGCACCAAAUAUGUUGUCGAAUAGAUCUGUUUAACGCCUGCUUUUUAGCAGGCGUUUUUUU
rnacentral:sRNA from 16 species